rnacentral:rRNA from 1 species
GCGUGUAGCAAUACACGAGUGGCGCACGGGUGAGUAACGCGUGGAUAUCUGCCUUUUGGUUCGGAAUAACUCCGGGAAACUGGAGCUAAUACCGGAUGGUUCCUACGGGAUAAAGAUUUAUCGCCAAAAGAUGAGUCCGCGUACGAUUAGCUAGUUGGUGAGGUAAUGGCUCACCAAGGCGACGAUCGUUAGCUGGUCUGAGAGGACGAUCAGCCACACUGGGACUGAGACACGGCCCAGACUCCUACGGGAGGCAGCAGUGGGGAAUAUUGGACAAUGGGGGCAACCCUGAUCCAGCCAUGCCGCGUGAGUGAUGAAGGCCUUCGGGUUGUAAAGCUCUUUUGGCGGGGACGAUGAUGACGGUACCCGCAGAAUAAGCCCCGGCUAACUUCGUGCCAGCAGCCGCGGUAAGACGAAGGGGGCUAGCGUUGUUCGGAAUUACUGGGCGUAAAGCGAGUGUAGGUGGUUGUCAUAGUCAGGUGUGAAAGCCUUGAGCUCAACUCAAGAAAUGCACUUGAUACUGGGCGACUAGAGGACCGGAGAGGAUAGUGGAAUUCCCAGUGUAGUGGUGAAAUACGUAGAGAUUGGGAAGAACACCAGUGGCGAAGGCGGCUAUCUGGACGGUUUCUGACACUGAGACUCGAAAGCGU